CGAACGGGUGAGUAACGCGUGAGUAACCUGCCCUGGAGAGGGGGACAACAGUUGGAAACGACUGCUAAUACCGCAUAAGCCCACGGGUCGGCAUCGACCUGAGGGAAAAGGAGCAAUCCGCUUUGAGAUGGCCUCGCGUCCGAUUAGCUAGUUGGUGAGGUAAUGGCCCACCAAGGCGACGAUCGGUAGCCGGACUGAGAGGUUGAACGGCCACAUUGGGACUGAGACACGGCCCAG
rnacentral:rRNA from 1 species